GCCCAACCUCCGAGACCAUCCUUGGACAUCACUAGACUGGGAGCUAUACAUGGAAGGGAGCAGCUUCGUCAACCCAAGGAGAGAGGUGUGCUGGAUAUGCAGAGAUCUCAUGCCUAGGUUUGGACUGCACUUACGAAUCAGCUUGGACAAUGGGCCGGCGUUUGUGGCUGACUUGGUACAGAAGACAGCUAAGGUAUUGGGGAUCACAUGGAAACUACAUACCGCCUACCAACCACAAAGUUCCGGAAAGGGAGCAGAUGAAUCAGACUACCAAAACAUAAUUUAGUGAAAGUGUGUCAAGAAACAGGGUUAAGAAUCCAAGUUCAAGGGGAAAAGUCAAGGACUAGAAUCACAGGUCAUAGCAUCAUUCAGUUAAGCAGGAAACUAAGAUAAGCAGUGUUCCAUCAUAAGUCUUACUCAGGGAAAGUAACUUUAUCAUCUGCAGUGCACAAGACCAGAAGAAUGACCGAUCUUUACCCCUCACCUCAUUAUAACACUAAAACCUCUGCCAAGGGGGUUCUUAUCUGCCAUUUUCUGCUCAUGUGAUGUAUGUGUUAGCAUGAUCCCUUACUACACCUGAGCAUCCUGCACUCCACCCCAUACAUGUAGUGAUGCUCACCUACUUCUUGAAUUAUUAAUGUCACCUCCUUAAGACACUGCAAUGCACUCCCCUCUGGGAGCCGGCUGGAGAAAUUUUGCUCCAGUACUGUCUCCCUUGUGUUCCAGCAUAACCCCCUAAUAAAGCUUUGUCUGGGAA
rnacentral:lncRNA from 10 species